rnacentral:rRNA from 1 species
AUGAUCUCGGCCGUCCUACCCGCUGCUGCGUCGCCGGCCGUGAACGUCGCCAGCGUGCGUACUCACGUUCCCGUCACCCUGGACCUCCAUGCUUCCAACUUCACCAAGUGGAGGAUGCUGGUUCGCGUCCUUCUCGGCAAGUACGAUCUGCUCUCCCACGUCAACGUUGUCACUGCCGAGGCGGACCGCACCCCGGACUGGACUCGUGAGGACUAUAUUGUCCGCUCGUGGCUUUACGGGUCCAUCUCCGACGAGAUUCUGGACAUUAUUAUGGCGGAGGACCAAACUGCUCAGGAGGCCUGGACGCUCAUCUCCAAUCUUUUCCUGGACAAUCUCAGUUGA